rnacentral:rRNA from 1 species
CCUACGGGAGGCAGCAGUGGGGAAUAUUGGUCAAUGGGGGGAACCCUGAUCCAGCGACGCCGCGUGAGUGAAGAAGUAUUUCGGUAUGUAAAGCCCUAUCAUCAGGGAAGAAAGAAAUGACGGUACCUGACUAAGAAGCCCCGGCUAACUUCGUGCCAGCAGCCGCGGUAAUACGGAGGGGGCAAGCGUUAUCCGGCAUUACUGGGUGUAAAGGGGGCGUAGACGGCGAAGCAAGUCUGAAGUGAAAGGCGGGGGCCCAACCUCCGGACUGCUUUGGAAACUGUAUUGCUGGAGUGCAGGAGAGGUAAGUGGAAUUCCUGGUGUAGCGGUGAAAUGCGUAGAGAUUAGGAGGAAUACUAGUGGCGAAGGCGGCUUACUGGACCGUAACUGACGUUGAGGCGCGAAAGCGUGGGGAGCAAACAGGAUUAGAUACCCUUGUAGUC